rnacentral:lncRNA from 1 species
UAGUUAAUCCUUAAGGGCCAAUUGUUCAAUUGGAGAUUACAUAUCUUCAGAUUAAAAAUAAUCUUCAAUUAAUUAAACUUAAAAUUGCAUUCUUCAAUAAUACAAGUUUAACAACACCUAACCAUCUGUUAACAAGAGAUUAUCGUAAUCCCUCAAAAACGAAGGAUUCACAGUGUUCUAAUGGAUUUUGGGAAGAUCUGUGAACUUGAAAAUGUCACAAAGAAUAUAACUACAGUAAAUUCAAAUAAGACAUGCAGUGCAUGUAAACAAAGAUUACAAUUCGACUCAUUCAGCGAAGACUGUACUAACUCAUUUUUUUAAGUUUUCGAAUAAAGCAAGAUAAAGUUUUGAUUAAUGCAAAAAAUCAGGGGUUUUUAUUUACUAAAUUGUUUUUAUAUUUAUCCAUUGUGUUUAACGUAUUGUUCUAUUUGUUCUUUUGAACAUGUGAAUUUUUUUUCUUUAUAUGGUUUUUGAAUGAGUUAGUACAGUAUUCGCUGGAAAAAAUCGAGAAAAUCCUGGAUAGUACAUCCUGGAUACUUAUGUAUACUUAUAAAAUGCACCUUCUAUUCACAUGUAUUAUUUUUAUCUAAUAGAAAUUUAUACGCUGUACAACUUUUCUAACGUAAACAAUGUUGUUCAUGUAGGUGUACUUUACUUAACCUUAAAAUGCGAAAACUAUUCUAACUCACGAGACAAUGACGCUUCCGUUCGGAAUGCCAAGGAAGACUAUACUAACUUUGAUUAUGCUUUGAUUGAUAGGAUAGUUUUCGUCAGAUAAUGUAAAGAUAUACAAGUUAGUACAAUAUCGAAGUGCAAAAUUGGUUGCCUAAACGUGAACAAAUUAACAUAGAACUUUGUUCGUUGAAAGGCAUCACGGUUAUCUAAUUUUUCAGGGGUAUAACACAAAAACGCCAAAAAUUUAGUUAGUACAGUCUUCGUUGGACGAGUCGAAUUGUUAAAGUUAUUCAAAAUGUAUCUACUUGUUACAUAGUAAUGAGCAUCGUGUUAUCACUUCGUCUCUUUUCUCGAUUAUUCGAUUUCAUUGUCUUCAUUUCUUUGCUUCAAUAAGGUGUUAAGUUAAAAAGUACAAUUUUACAGGAGCCUCCUUUUUAACUUAAAAAAAAUUAUUGUCUCCAAAGCAAUGCAUUUUUAUAGUCCAUCUAAUAUUAACUAUAAAUGUUAGCUACAUACGUCUCUGAAAAUGUUCGAUAGGCCUGAUGAUGUUAUAAAUUUAGCAAAAAAUUUGCAUAUUUACAAAAAAGGUGAUAACAUGUAACACUUUUCCUGCAAAAAUGUAAUAAGAUGAAUGUUACAAACUGACUUGUCACGUUGUUGAUGAUAUUAUUUUUGUUAAGUUACUGGGUUAUACAAUAAACAAAUGUUGUUGAAGUAAAAGAUUUUAGAUUUGAGAAUAUGUUCUUUAUUGAAAAAGUGUAACUAUAACAAACAAUAUUAGAAUUACAAGGCGAAAUUAAACUGCAAUAAUUGUUAAAUUAAAACUAUUUUUUAAAGUUAUUUAAUAAUGUGUGAAAGCUUAAAUUCUAAAGAACUAAUUUCAUUAAAUUACAAAAAUGUAACACUUAAAAUAUUUUCUUUGUCACAACAAGCAAAAACACGUGACUUUAGAACUACGAUUCAUAAAAUGGCCUGUGAUAUCUUGGAGUUAGGAUUUUUUUAACCAAAUCCAUGAGAUCCGCUUUUUUCUUUAUCGGGCAUACCUGGUUUUGCUAUGUAUGCAUCUUUCAAUUCCAAAUUGUUGCUCUUUUUCUUUUUAUUAAUAACUAUAGCAUCGGUUCGCUUUUUUUUAAGUUGAAUCACCUUUAAACCUGCUAGUUUUACUGUCUUAUUAUUUUCAUUUUUCAGUAAAGAAAAGUUAAUUAGGGCCGUUACAUAGGGCCGGAUCUUAAUUGACGUUUAAUUUCUCUCUCAAUUUGAGAAUGAGCAGGAUCUCUCUCGUUUUGGGUGCGCUCUUUUAUCAAAUAUUUAUGCAUUACUGAGUUAAGAUUUUCAAUUGCUUUUACUGUAUAUAGAUACAUACAGAUCAUAUAUUUAUUUUUUUGCUGGCUUGUACAAUUAUCAGAAUAGAACACAACGUCCAAAUGGUUGGUUGUUGCUGAAACUUUCUUGUACUUGUAAACGCAUGUACUGAUUUCAUUCACAACUCUAUGGGCUUUGACUCAUCCCAAACAUAGCUUUCAACACAGUUAUUCUGAAUGUUUUAUAUGGUUAAAUUAAAAAUAUUCAAUGUCGAUUUAUUUCAGACUGAGAUCUCCCUUUUGGGGCAUUGGAACACUGCUUGCAAGUCAUACACUACGACCAGAAUUGUAUUGUCUUUUUUAUCAUUUUCUUUCUCUAUAUGUGACAGAACUCCAUGACAUCCGCAAUUAUCUUUCAUUGCUGAAAUGUUGCUGUCUCUAUUUUUCUUCUUUAAGGCCGUCUCAAUAGGCCGGUUAUUAAUUGCUAAAGUAUUUAAAAAAAAAAUAGUUUACACACUUUACACCAUCAGCAGUUAAAAAGAAAGCGUUGUUAUUGUCUCGAGAAGGUGCAUUGUUCCCAUCGGCAUCCAUUUUAACAUAACGAUAUUUUGGGACGACUGCUUCAACACUGUUUGCGAUAAAUGACCACUGUUUUCGAUGUUUCCUAAAUCCCAGUAUUCUUUAAAUAAUUGCAAACGUCGCUCCUCUGUGAUAUUUGACCGACAUUUGAAAGCACAACUUUUUCUGCAAGGUGGUUUCAAUGUACAUUCUGGAAUGGAUUUAUUUGCCUUUAGUGUUUGAUAAGAUUUUCCACAAUUUCUCAGUUUCUUUAGUACAUUUUUUUGUCAAUUAUCUUCUUGUCUUCGUCUUUUCUUUCCUAUUUUAUUUUGACUACAAUCUGGAUUUGUUAACUUCUGUUGAGAGGCGCUUAUAUUUUCCUUAUCAGACGGUUUACUUUGUAUUGGUAUAAGGUUAUUAAGUAUCAUUUCAUGAUCUUCCCUAGGUAGCUGAUUCACACUUUCACAUAAAAUAUUGUCUUGAUUUCUUGU